GAAAACCAGAUUUGUUCAUAAAAUGAACAAGCUCAGCUUUAUGCUAUCUCUUUAGUUUGUGUGGAUCAACAUAACACUAAAGUCAGUUGAACUACAUUGAUGUACUUCAGCUGAGGAGCUACCCAUUCACAGAAAACUGUAUCUUUCUGUUACUAUGGGAAAAUCGAUAUGGGUGAGCUAAAAUCAGAUCUAUCUGGAAGUCAAAGAAAAUGCAAGUUUAAACUAUGAAACCCCAAAGCCGUGUACCCUUUUUGAAGCUGCUUUUGAUUUUUUAAGGAUUCUAGACUGAAGUCAUCUUGACAAAAUAACAUCAGAAAGGAUUCUUUGGAGACUUCCAUUCUGACCAAAAGGACAAAAAGACAGGACUUCCAAAAACAUCACAGGAAAGCCUCAGCUCCAUUUUAGCUCGAAGGAGGAUUCAGGCACAGUGAGAACAGAAGGACAGAAGGUGGUUUGCAGUUUCUGGCUAUCUGGAAAGCUGGCAUG
ensembl:lncRNA